rnacentral:rRNA from 1 species
UACGUAGGGUGCGAGCGUUGUCAGGAAUUAUUGGGCGUAAAGGGCUCGUAGGCGGUCUGUCGCGUCGGGAGUGAAAACUCGGGGCUUAACUCCGAGCCUGCUUCUGAUACGGGCAGACUAGAGGUAUGCAGGGGAGAAUGGAAUUCCUGGUGUAGCGGUGAAAUGCGCAGAUAUCAGGAGGAACACCGGUGGCGAAGGCGGUUCUCUGGGCAUGACCUGACGCUGAGGAGCGAAAGUGUGGGGAGCGAACAGG